AAAGUAAAUAUGCAGUUAGAUGCUAACAAGUCCCAGUCUCCAAACCUCUGUAAAACAACAAAAUUCGUCUGGACAGCAUAAUAUCGAUAUCAUUUGGAAAUUCAUGAGAAAUAUGUUACAUAUAUACAACGUUAUAGUUAAGUUACAAUCACUUUUCUCUAUAAAUAUGCGAAUAACAUUUAAUCGUGAAUAAUGAUCAUAAUAUUCAAAAUAGUUGCACAGAGUCGUCAAUGACGGAAAAUCUUUCAAUACCCGACUAUGGACCAUUCAUCAUUGGUGGAGCACUUUUCCAUGGUGUUGUACAAAAUUUUGGGGGACUUAGGACAAAGACAGAAUUGACAUGUAAUUAGUUUGCAUUAUAUAUAAAGGAGAAAUAAAUUAAAAGGUUGGUGGUUAAGUGUUGGCAUCAGCUAGGGUGGAAAAGUGACAUAGGAGGAGAAUCUGUUUGCUGGGUCGGUGUCAUAGGACAGCAACAUGCAUCUAUUCUGCCCAGAAAAUAUCUCAUUUCCUAUCGAGUUUGUUCAAUUGCAUGAUUCAUAUGAAUACAAGAUGAUGGCCACCUAUAUGCUGAAGCAGGCUGAUGAUCGAAGCAGGCUGAUGAUCGAACUAUAUAUGUUGAGGUUUCACCAAAAUAUCUAUGGAUUAUGAGUCGGUUAGGGUACGGUUAGGGUUUCUUUUACAUAGUCGACACACGUACUGGUGAUUCUGAAGUUGUAGCUAGGGUGUGGAUAUUACACUAUAUUUUAGCCAUUUGAUCUCCAACAAUUUUCAUCUCAGUAAGGUACAAGUCAUCUUCAGAUGUCCUUCAAUAUUUACAGUACGUGUUGUUGAAAAGAGGGACGGGCGGUGGGUUCUAAGAAUCUAUAGGGUGUAGUGGUCUUCUCCUUCUGGGGAGGGUUGGCGUCUCGCGCGAUAACCACUACCGAGAAACUAAUAUCGCAUAUAUAAUCCUUUUUGUUUUAUGAUUAUUAUUCUGCAGUGAAUGGUUAAUUGCCGGCCUCUAACUCAUCCGUCUACCAGUUAAUUGAAAAGAAAAAACAGUACGUGUUGUUGACUUCAAACCAAUUUUCACCAAAUUGCGUUCAUGUGUUGUUCGAUCAAAAUUUGAAGUGUGCAACUCCAAACUGAUCACUUGAUAAUUAUUUAAGAAUGCAAGAUUUAACACCUUUAAUUACAAUCCACACAUCCUGACCCAUUUAUAGUACAUAUUAUAGUACAUAUGGAAAUGUCAAAAUUGUCCAUGUUCUUUUUUCUCUUCAAAUUGUCUAAGAUAUAGACAUUUCU
rnacentral:lncRNA from 1 species